AGGUAUAUUGAUCUUUCAUGAACUUGGCUUCGAUUCUAAUGAACUAAUGAUGCGUUAAAGCAUUUGAUGUACUUUUAAAGACUCAUAACUGUGCAAAUUUUAGUGUUCCAAAUUGCUUUCCAUGCGUAUGUUGAAUGUCUCGGUGAUUCUCAUCGUCAAAGUUCUCCGGGCAUGAGGACUGGGUUGUAUAUGCAGCAUCUAUUCAAGCUUCAAAGUAGCGCGGCACAAUGACUGUAAGGUAAACCAAGCAAUAGACAAGGAUUGAAAAGAUGGUGAUUUUCUGCUACUGUUGUUAUUGAACAUUUAAUUUGGUUAGACACUCUUAAGCUUUUCCUGCUUUUUCGUAAGGCUAAUCCCAAAACUUAUUUCGAUUUCCUGUCAAUUCCAUGGAAAUAGCCUCUCGUUCUAGUUCCAAAUUAUCUGAGUGCCAAAUUUUUUGAAGUUCUCUGUGUUGUUCUGAGCACUAGUAGCUUAAUCCGAUGCAUGGUAUUUGUACAGCCUAUCUUCCUUUGACUUUUACAUUGUCAUGUCUCUAUUAGAUGUAAACACAUCGCAGCGCUAACUAAUUCAGAGGUUUUUAUAUGACAAUAGCUACCCUGUUAUAAUGAAAAGUAUAUUGUGCUAAUUUCUAAAUAUCAAGGAGUAAAUAAAAAAUAUAGUGUAAUAGCAUUCAAUUAGUGAUAGAAGGAAUUUGUUAUUUGAAAAGCAAUCAAAACAUCUGAGGCUGCGACUGCCCAACUUUUAGAAACUAAUGCUACUGACAAUUAUCUCUGCUAAGAUCCCUCCUCUCUUACCCUCUUCUUAUUUUUGGCAUUUGAAGAACACUGAACAACUAUAGCUGGGCUUCUUACGGUGUGUUGUCAUUUUUGCCUCUCUGGUCAUCAGGCUCUGUUGAUCUGUACUUGUAGCGAGUAGCCCAGAGGAGAUAAUGUAGGAAAUUUAACCCACUUAAUAUGCACAUCAACCAAUAAAACCUUUCAAGGUGAUAAUGAUUCAAAUUACUCCCGUAGAGCCAUG
rnacentral:lncRNA from 1 species